rnacentral:rRNA from 1 species
GUCUACGGUCAUGCCACCCUGAACAAGCCCAAUGUCUGAUCUUGGAAGCUAAGCAGGGUCAGGCCUGGUUAGUACUUGGAUGGGAGAUCACCUAGGAAGACCAGGUACUGGAGGCA